rnacentral:rRNA from 1 species
AGAGUUUGAUCCUGGCUCAGGAUGAACGCUGGCGGCGUGCUUAACACAUGCAAGUCGAACGGAGUGCCCUUGAAGGAGUUUUCGGACAACAGAUAGGGUUACUUAGUGGCGGACGGGUGAGUAACGCGUGAGGAACCUGCCUUGGAGUGGGGAAUAACAGCUGGAAACAGCUGCUAAUACCGCAUGAUGCAGUUGGGCCGCAUGGCUCUGACUGCCAAAGAUUUAUCGCUCUGAGAUGGACUCGCGUCUGAUUAGCUAGUUGGCGGGGUAACGGCCCACCAAGGCGACGAUCAGUAGCCGGACUGAGAGGUUGGCCGGCCACAUUGGGACUGAGACACGGCCCAGACUCCUACGGGAGGCAGCAGUGGGGAAUAUUGGGCAAUGGGCGCAAGCCUGACCCAGCAACGCCGCGUGAAGGAAGAAGGCUUUCGGGUUGUAAACUUCUUUUGUCAGGGACGAAGCAAGUGACGGUACCUGACGAAUAAGCCACGGCUAACUACGUGCCAGCAGCCGCGGUAAUACGUAGGUGGCAAGCGUUAUCCGGAUUUACUGGGUGUAAAGGGCGUGUANGCGGGACUGCAAGUCAAAUGUGAAAACCACGGGCUCAACCUGUGGCCUGCAUUUGAAACUGUAGUUCUUGAGUACUGG